rnacentral:rRNA from 1 species
UACGAAGGGGGCUAGCGUUGCUCGGAAUCACUGGGCGUAAAGGGUGCGUAGGCGGGUCUUUAAGUCAGGGGUGAAAUCCUGGAGCUCAACUCCAGAACUGCCUUUGAUACUGAAGAUCUUGAGUUCGAGAGAGGUGAGUGGAACUGCGAGUGUAGAGGUGAAAUUCGUAGAUAUUCGGAAGAACACCAGUGGCGAAGGCGGCUCACUGGACCGGCAUUGACGCUGAUGUGCGAAAGCGUGGGGAGCAAACAGG